rnacentral:misc_RNA from 1 species
UCGUCUUUUAUAUCAAAUUCAAUGUCUCUCACCACGUGUAACUUAUUUCCAUAUAUCUAUAUGUUAGGACUUAGGAUCUCAAAAUCCGUGACGCAUCGAUAUCAUGCGUAGUCUUAUUCAAUCCAAUUGAAUCUGUAGUCGUUGUUGGUAGGGAGAAAGUAAACGCUUCACACUAUGGUAUUCAUGUGUGUUUAGAUUUAUUGAUAAGGUAUUUAGUACAAAAAAUUUAAGGUUAAAGCCCUCUGUAUUAUCGUUGUAAAUGAAGAAUAAUGGGUUUAAACUUCUUUACGGUAAAAAGCGAAAAUAUUUUUCGCUUGUGCAUAGUAAGUUAUUUUGUUUUACCUAUAGUGCCGAUUGAAAGCGAACCGCAAUAUAAUGAUAAAUUUGAAAUUAUGACGUCGAUGAUACCCAAGGAUGAAAUGUUAACACAAAAUAAGGAUAACCUAAGCUUUAUACAUGCACUUAUAGCUUCUUUGUCAGUAAUUGUUGUCUCUGAGUUAGGAGACAAAACAUUUUUUAUUGCUGCUAUAAUGGCAAUGAAACAUCCACGACUGACAGUUUUUGUUGGGGCAAUAAGUGCUUUAGCUCUCAUGACUAUUCUUUCAGUGAUUUUUGGAUAUGCUGCAACUAUAAUUCCACGUGCAUAUACGUAUUACAUUUCUACUGCUCUUUUUGCUUUGUUCGGUUUGAAAAUGUUACGAGAUGGUUAUAAAAUGUCUGUGACAGAAGCACAAGAGGAAUUAGAAGAAGUACAAACUGAUUUAAGGAAACGAGAUGAUGAGUAUGAAAAGGAAACAGGAAGUAUAUCAAUACAGGAUCCAGAGACUGGUGUUAUAAGAAAAACUGCAAAAAUUAGUGCAUUAAUGCUUUUAUCUAGGAUAUUCCUUCAAGCGUUUACAUUAACAUUUGUUGCAGAAUGGGGAGACCGUUCACAACUUACCACUAUUAUACUUGCAGCAAGAGAGGAUGUUUAUGGAGUUGUAGUAGGUGGAAUAUUAGGACAUAUGUUUUGUACAGGAUUAGCAGUAUUAGGAGGUAGAAUGAUAGCUCAGAAAAUUUCAGUACGAACAGUGACCAUAAUUGGCGGAUUAGUGUUUCUACUGUUUGCUUUUACAGCACUUUUUAUCAGCCCUUCGGAAGAUAUAUGAAACCACAGACAGUAUUUACCUACAGUGUGUAACAAAAAACAAUGAGGCAAUUCAGUACAAAAAGAAACACGUAACUUACUGGAACUUUCAAUCCCUGUAGGUUGAGAAAUGUUUAAUGGAACCAUACUUCAUUUAAGUGCUUUGAAAAGCUCUUGAGAUAAGCCACAAUAAUAUGCAAUAAAAAAUGGAGAAUUUCACUUAACCAGUUAAGUGUGUUUGACGACUAUAUCCGUCAUGGAAAUGUA